UACAGAGGUCUCAAGCGUUGUUCGGAUUCAUUGGGCGUAAAGGGUGUGUAGGUGGCGCCGUAAGUCGGGUGUGAAAUUUCGGAGCUUAACUCCGAAACUGCAUUCGAUACUGCGGUGCUUGAGGACUGGAGAGGAGACUGGAAUUCAUGGUGUAGCAGUGAAAUGCGUAGAGAUCAUGAGGAAGACCAGUGGCGAAGGCGGGUCUCUGGGCCGAAUACUGACGUGAGGAGCGAAAGCGUGGGGAGCGAACAGG
rnacentral:rRNA from 1 species